UGAUCCACUGAAUUUCACAAGGUAACAGUUUUUUUUUAAAGAACAGUAUUACGAAUAUGUAGAUAUCAGUAUCCCCAAAAUUCUCAAUAGCCCAGUUAAUUACAAUCACAAACAAACCACUAUCAUUUUUUUACAUAAGUUGCUGUAUGGCAUUUUUAAAAGCCUAUGAACUGAUGGAUAUUUGUCACAAUGAUUACAAAUGUAGCAAAUCUUUCAACCUUGGUAAACAUUUUUAAACAAAGUAAAACUUAUUUUGGGUUUAGAACAUUAUCAAGAAAUCUAGAUAUCAUUCUGGUGGAAGUUAAGUAGUGAGCUGAAGUUAUAAAUGAGGGGUGUUCCUUUUUGGAGGCUUCUAGGGGUACAAAUGCCCUGGGAUUAACUGCCCAACUUUCAUUCACAUUUUUGUUCAAAUCUCCAUUUUUACAGAAGGGAAGCCCCUUGUCUGACCAUGGGAUUCCAAUGUCCUUGCUGAUUUAGAAGGAGAAAUCAAGUCUGUUCAUCCUCAUGGAGGACUCAAUCAUGGGCCUUGCCACUUCCCAGACAUACGUGGGAGAAAGGAACAGGUCUAUGUCAAUGUCAGGUGUUAGAGGAGGAGAGCCAUAUCAGCCAUAAGAAGAGGAGCCCAAAUCCUUCAAUCUGACACGUUACAUUCAAAGCUGCAGUCCCCGAUCCAGACCUGUUGCGUUGGCUGCCCAGCUGGCCCCUGGCUGCUAAGCUCUGCCUGCCUGCUUCUCCUGCUUCUGCUCCUGGACUCUCACCUGGUGCCCGAGCUCCCGGCCCUGUUUGUCUGCACCCUGGCUCCCGGCCCUGAUCACCCUGCAGUCUUUCUCUCGCUCACCUGGCCCACCUGAUUCAACCAAGAUUGUAAUCACCUGGUGACGUGCCUGCCCAACAAACCCAGAUCCUUGGCAGGUAACAAAACAGGGGGGUGAGGGGGGCGGUAUUGGCUCCACGUGGGCGGCCUGGGUUCCACGUGGACUGGGGCUGGAGGAGGUAUCAGAGCAGGGGAGAGAGAAAAGGGAAAGGAGAAGAAACAUGUUUUUUUCUAACAGAAACUUAAAAAAGCAAUGGGCUGUUUAAAAGGAUACCUUUUGACACUUCUGGUAAUUUCAUUGAUUUUACCUGCCUGUCAGGGAGCAGAUUCAGCCCAAAGAUUCAACUUUAACUUUGAAGGGGCAAAUGGGUGGCUCAACAAACUGGGAUCCAGACCUGAGGACAUGAGGUCCUGGGUUAAAAUCUGGCCUCAGAUACUUCCCAGCUGUGGGGCCCUGAGCAGACCCCUUAGACCCUAUUGCUUAGCCCUUACCACUCUGCCUUCUGACAAUAGGCAUUUAAAUGGAUAAGAACCCAAGGAACUUUGAAGAGA